CAAUUAUCAGUCUGCUAUCUCGAAGCGGGCGACGCUUGACUGAUGCCGGGAGAUGGCCUGUAGAAGGGCCUGACCAGCAGCGGCCGUGUUUGCGAACGCGGCCGUUCACAGAUCAUGUUUGAGCGGUCCUGGAGGAUUAUGAUAUGACCGGUCUCGCUCCGCAACGAGCGGGAACCUCGUUCCGUAGGUGCUCAAGUUCGCCUACCGCAUGCGCAAUGCGCGGUCUGUACCCUAGCGUGCAGGCAACACCGUUCAAAUGCUGGGCGUGCCGGGCGCAAGCCCGUCACCAUCAGCAGCCGGCGCUCCGGCGCUCGGCCCACAGAUCAUCCGACGGUGACCUUUUAAGGUUAAGAUAUGAUCGGUCCCGGCCCGCCCUGGGCCCUGGAGACACGGAACCUGCGGAAGGAUCAUUACCGAGAGACGGGGUCUAACCGGCCCCAACUCUUCACCCCUGUCUACCCAAAAGAUGUUGCUUUGGCGGGCCAGCCGGCCUUUCCGGGGCAGGUCCACCCCUGCUCGCGCCCGCCGAAGGCCUCAGUAAACUCUGUGAUCAGUGUCGUCCGAGUAAAAACAAUCGUUAAAACUUUCAACAACGGAUCUCUUGGUUCCGGCGUCGAUGAAGAACGCAGCGAAAUGCGAAAAGUAAUGUGAAUUGCAGAAUUCCGUGAAUCAUCGAAUCUUUGAACGCACAUUGCGCCCUUUGGUAUUCCGAAGGGCAUGCCUGUUCGAGCGUCAUUGCACCUCUCAAGCACUGCUUGGUAUUGGGCUUCGCCCCCGUGGCGGGCCCGGAUUCUAGUGGC
rnacentral:misc_RNA from 1 species